AAAAUAUGAUGAGGGCACUUUCUAAGAAUCUCCUUAAAACUUUCCCAACUCUCAUAGAUUGACUCUCCUUAAAAUUGGAAAAAGGAAGUAAUAUUACUCCUAAACAU